AUUGAACGCUGGCGGCAGGCCUAACACAUGCAAGUCGAACGAGUGGCGGACGGGUGAGUAAUGUCUGGGAAACUGCCUGAUGGAGGGGGAUAACUACUGGAAACCGUAGCUAAUACCGCAUACCAUCAUAUCUUCCCCGAUGGGCUUAGCUAGUUGGGAGGGUAACGGCUCACAAAGGCGACGAUCCCUAGCUGACCUGAGAGGAUGACCAGCCACACUGGAACUGAGACACGGUCCAGACUCCUACGGGAGGCAGCAGUGGGGAAUAUUGCACAAUGGGCGCAAGCCUGAUGCAGCAAUGCCGCGUGUAUGAAGAAGGCCUUCGGGUUGUAAAGUACUGUCAGCGGGGAGGCGUUACCCGCAGAAGAAGCACCGGCUAACUCCGUGCCAGCAGCCGCGGUAAUAC
rnacentral:rRNA from 1 species